GGAUUCGCUCUCGUAGGUGACCUGCGGAGGGAUCAUUACACAAAUAUGAAGGCGGGCUGGAACCUCUCGGGGUUACAGCCUUGCUGAAUUAUUCACCCUUGUCUUUUGCGUACUUCUUGUUUCCUUGGUGGGUUCGCCCACCACUAGGACAAACAUAAACCUUUUGUAAUUGCAAUCAGCGUCAGUAACAAAUUAAUAAUUACAACUUUCAACAACGGAUCUCUUGGUUCUGGCAUCGAUGAAGAACGCAGCGAAAUGCGAUAAGUAGUGUGAAUUGCAGAAUUCAGUGAAUCAUCGAAUCUUUGAACGCACAUUGCGCCCUUUGGUAUUCCAAAGGGCAUGCCUGUUCGAGCGUCAUUUGUACCCUCAAGCUUUGCUUGGUGUUGGGCGUCUUGUCUCUAGCUUUGCUGGAGACUCGCCUUAAAGUAAUUGGCAGCCGGCCUACUGGUUUCGGAGCGCAGCACAAGUCGCACUCUCUAUCAGCAAAGGUCUAGCAUCCAUUAAGCCUUUUUUUCAACUUUUGACCUCGGAUCAGGUAGGGAUACCCGCUGAACUUAAGCAUAUCAAAAGGCCGGAGGAA
rnacentral:rRNA from 1 species